rnacentral:rRNA from 1 species
GACGAACGCUGGCGGCGUGCUUAACACAUGCAAGUCGAACGGAAAGGCCCUGCUUUUGUGGGGUGCUCGAGUGGCGAACGGGUGAGUAACACGUGAGUAACCUGCCCUUGACUUUGGGAUAACUUCAGGAAACUGGGGCUAAUACCGGAUAGGAGCUCCUGCUGCAUGGUGGGGGUUGGAAAGUUUCGGCGGUUGGGGAUGGACUCGCGGCUUAUCAGCUUGUUGGUGGGGUAGUGGCUUACCAAGGCUUUGACGGGUAGCCGGCCUGAGAGGGUGACCGGCCACAUUGGGACUGAGAUACGGCCCAGACUCCUACGGGAGGCAGCAGUGGGGAAUAUUGCACAAUGGGCGGAAGCCUGAUGCAGCGACGCCGCGUGCGGGAUGACGGCCUUCGGGUUGUAAACCGCUUUCUCCUGUGACGAAGCGUGAGUGACGGUAAUGGGUAAAGAAGCACCGGCUAACUACGUG